rnacentral:rRNA from 1 species
UGGGGAAUAUUGCACAAUGGGCGCAAGCCUGAUGCAGCCAUGCCGCGUGUAUGAAGAAGGCCUUCGGGUUGUAAAGUACUUUCAGCGAGGAGGAAGGCGUUGUGGUUAAUAACCGCAACGAUUGACGUUACUCGCAGAAGAAGCACCGGCUAACUCCGUGCCAGCAGCCGCGGUAAUACGGAGGGUGCAAGCGUUAAUCGGAAUUACUGGGCGUAAAGCGCACGCAGGCGGUCUGUCAAGUCGGAUGUGAAAUCCCCGGGCUCAACCUGGGAACUGCAUCCGAAACUGGCAGGCUAGAGUCUUGUAGAGGGGGGUAGAAUUCCAGGUGUAGCGGCGAAAUGCGUAGAGAUCUGGAGGAAUACCGGUGGCGAAGGCGGCCCCCUGGACAAAGACUGACGCUCAGGUGCGAAAGCGUGGGGAGCAAACA